rnacentral:lncRNA from 1 species
AGAUGUCACAGGCAAACUGGCAUGAUUUUGCAAGGGUUUAUUUACAGAGUGACUCCUUGUGGAGCUGUGGACAUACAGGAGGCAUAAGAGAUGGUGCAUUAUCCCAGGGCAAAUAUCAGCAGAGCUGCUGUCAUCCCUGGGUCUGGAGCUUUGGGGAAGGAAGCAGCUACCAGAACCUGGAAGGAGAGUCACAUAGAGGAGGCUGCCUUGAGAGAAGAUGUCAUCUUCAACUGGGGGAUGCAGUCAGCCUGAGAAUUGGUGGCUCCCUGCUGGAACUUGAACAGACUUCUUCAGCACACCUGUGUCCCCUACACCGGAAAGUCCUUCAAGGUCGGGAGAUCUUCAACCCACAAUGUCCAACAUGGCCCCUGGGGCUGAGUGGCUGCUUAUUAAAUGCCUGUGA